ACACAUUUGCAAACACUCCCUUUAUAUCCAGAACUUUAUCAUCUUCAACUUUAUCAUCUUCAACAAAAACCCAGAACUUUAUCCCUAAACACUUGCUUAUCCUCAACUGAUUACCCCCUUUCUUCUUUACCAUAACCCUAACUAACCACACAUUUUGACUUUACCAUCAUCAUUUUCAUCACCAUCAUCAUCUUCAAGAGAGAUAAGAUAUCGGAGAUCAGAAGAUCGGAGAUAAUAAGAGAUCGGAGAUCAGAAGCGAAGAGAGAGGAGAGAGACGGCAAGAGAGAGAAGAGAUCGGAGAUCAGAAGCGAUCGGAGAUCAGAAGCGAAGAGAGAGGAGAGAGACGACAAGAGAGAGCAGAGAUCGGAGAAAAUGGUGGAACGACGGUAGCGCCGUCGCUCACGGCGGCGACGGUGGAGGUACAGGCGGUGGUGACUCCAUUAUCAGCCAACCACCGAUUGGCCUACGAUUAACCUUCGUUGACCUCUGAUCAACUGUCAUUCAGCGCUGAUUAACGAACAAAGUUGCAUAAUUUCACUGAUUUCAAGUUCAGGUGAAUCCAGCGGGUUUCUUAAUGGAUCGGAAUAGAUGAUGAAAAUGAUGCAGAUGAUGAUGGUGAUGAUGAUGAUUGAGCUUAGGUUUUUAAUUGUUCAAGGGUAAUAUAGUCAUUUCACACAUAUUUAGUUGAGAAAUUUAACUGAAGUUAGGGCUGGGGACCAACCGAGUGCAUUUUUAACAAGUUUUGGGACCAAGAGUGUAAAUAGUGAACCACUAGGACCAAGUGUGAAAUUUUGUGAAACCACAGGGACCAACCAAGCAUUUAACUCUUAAUAUAUUUUUGAAAGUUCAAUAAGCCAAUAUAUUUACAGAGAAAAUUGAAAAUA